CUCCUCUUAGGGUCACACCUGGAGACUUUCCAGGACUCUACCAGUCACGACUAGAGGAGGGAGAGUCAUGCAGAGGCCCGUCCGUUCCUUUCCUAGCUUGGGCAGUGGCUAGAGAGUGGAAGGCAAUCUGCUACAAGA